AUUGAUAUUUUUUAUAUUUUAAUUAUUAAAAUACCAAUCCAUCACAAUCAUACCUAAAUUGGCAAACUAAAUUAAAAUCAAAACACCAAGAAAUCAUAAUUAAAACAAUAUUAAUUUGUUGAAAAAUAUAUCCACAAAAUAUAUUAAAUUAAUAUAUAAGAAUCAAACAAAUAAAAUUUCCCCCAAACAAAUCCUUCUCAACAUCUCGUCUUCUCCCCCAAACCCCAAAUUUUAAUUUCCAACAAAUUCAUCAAAUAAUCAGACGUUCCACUAAACUAAAUCUCGUGCGAGAACAUAAAAGACAUUGAUACAUGAUUAUCUAGUUCUUAUAAUCUGAUUUGUCCCUGAGACCAAGCCUAGAGAGCACAAGGCAGUACGAAUCCCAGUCCGUUCUUCGCAGAUACUUUAACAAUUUCUUCCUUUUCUGAACCAUUGCUUGUAGUCCUUUCAGAGAAUGCUUAUCCUACAGUAUUUAAUUUAAAAUUACAACACCUAGUUAGCAAUUGAACAACAUAAAUGAAUUAUAACAACAGGAUAUAGGGAAUGUCUGGCACUAAAUGACCCAAAUAGGUGAACAAUUAAUACAUCACAACGAAAUUCAAAUUGAUCGAGCUAAUCAAAUAAAAAUAAAAUCGAAAGCAAAUCAAGAACAUAGAUUAGAGAUCCGAGCGGAUCAAUUUCCAAAAUCAGAUCCGAGCGGAUCAACUUCCAAAACCCCACCCCAGCAAAUCUAAAACCCCCGAAGCCAAUCUCAUACACCCCCACUUCAGAUCAUAGCUCCGAUAGGUUUUUGAGAGGCCGCACAACAGAUCCACGUAAUAAAGUGGAAGAAAGAAAAAGGUAGUGAUGGUUUGUAGAGAGGAGGGACGGGGAAUAGAAGAUGGAUGGUGGUGGUGGUGGUAGAUUAGUAGGGGAGAUGUUUGUUCACGAAGAAGAAGAAGAAUAGGAAUUAAAA
rnacentral:lncRNA from 1 species